rnacentral:rRNA from 1 species
UUUCGCAAUGCCCGAAAGGGUGACGAAGCGACGCCGCGUGUGGGAAGAAGGCCUUCGGGUUGUAAACCGCUGUUGGGAGUUAGGAAGUGUGGGAGUGUUAAUAGCGCUUCCACUUGACUAAAGCUCCAGAGGAAGCCACGGCUAACUCUGUGCCAGCAGCCGCGGUAAUACAGAGGCGGCAAGCGUUGUUCGGAAUUAUUGGGCGUAAAGAGCACGUAGGCGGCUCUGCAAGUCAGCUGUGAAAGCCUUCUGCUUAACGGAAGAACAGCAGUUGAAACUACAGGGCUUGAGUGCGGGAGGGGAGAGUGGAACUUCUGGUGGAGCGGUGAAAUGCGUAGAUAUCAGAAGGAACGCCGGCGGCGAAAGCGGCUCUCUGGCCCAUAACUGACGCUGAGUGUGCGAAAGCUAGGGGAGCAAACGGGAUUAGAUACCCCGGUAGUCCUAGCCGUAAACGAUGGGCACUAAGUAGAGGGGUUUU